AGUGAACGUUGGCGGCGUGGAUUAGGCAUGCAAGUCGAGCGAGAACCGUAGCAAUACGGGGACAGCGGCGAAAGGGACAGUAAUGUGUAGGUACCUACCUCCGGGUUCGGGAUAGCUGCGGGAAACUGCAGGUAAUACCGAAUAACGUCUCCGGACCAAAGGUGUGAUUCCACCUGGAGAGGGGCCUGCAUCCUAUUAGCUAGUUGGGGAGGUAACGGCUCACCAAGGCGACGAUGGGUAGCGGGUGUGAGAGCACGACCCGCGUCAUUGGGACUGAGACACUGCCCAGACACCUACGGGUGGCGGCAGUCGAGGAUCUUCGGGAAUGGGCGCAAGCCUGACCGAGCGACGCCGCGUGCGGGAUGAAGGCCUUCGGGUUGUAAACCGCUGUCGUAGAGGAGGAAAUGCAGGGGGGUUCUCCCCUCUGUUUGACCUAUUCUAGGAGGAAGGACGGGCUAAGUUCGUGCCAGCCGCCGCCGUAA
rnacentral:rRNA from 1 species